GCAGUACUCCCUCCAUUCGGAAUUACUUGUCACAAAAAUGGAUGUAUCUACAACUAAAAUACAUCUAGAUACAUUCAUUUCUUGGACGAGUAAUUCUGAACGGAGGAAGUAUGUA
rnacentral:pre_miRNA from 1 species